UAGGGAAUCUUCCACAAUGGACGCAAGUCUGAUGGAGCAACGCCGCGUGAGUGAAGAAGGUUUUCGGAUCGUAAAGCUCUGUUGUUGGUGAAGAAGGAUAGAGGCAAUAACUGGUCUUUAUUUGACGGUAAUCAACCAGAAAGUCACGGCUAACUACGUGCCAGCAGCCGCGGUAAUACGUAGGUGGCAAGCGUUGUCCGGAUUUAUUGGGCGUAAAGCGAGCGCAGGCGGAAUGAUAAGUCUGAUGUGAAAGCCCACGGCUCAACCGUGGAACUGCAUCGGAAACUGUCAUUCUUGAGUGCAGAAGAGGAGAGUGGAAUUCCAUGUGUAGCGGUGGAAUGCGUAGAUAUAUGGAAGAACACCAGUGGCGAAGGCGGCUCUCUGGUCUGCAACUGACGCUGAGGCUCGAAAGCAUGGGUAGCGAACAGG
rnacentral:rRNA from 1 species